GUGUUGUUUGAAAUAACACAUAUACUAAAAUUGGAUCGAUACAGAGAAGAUUAGCAUGGUCCCUUGCGCAAAGAUGACACGCAUAAUCGUGAAGCGUAUCCAAUCUUU
ensembl:snRNA U6 U6 spliceosomal RNA